UUCGUCACUCGUUCAUUGUUUUCAGCCACUGGUAGCUUGUAGAUGCAUUAUAUGCUCUACAGUCAAUUAUGAUUGCAUGUCUACUUAUAGUAACUAUAUAAUUAUUAAUAUACGCCUACUGUAUGAUAGCUAGAAAAUGAAUUAGCUAACGUUAUCCUGCCUAGCUGGAACUUCUGAAGGAAAAUUUGUUAUUUCUACAAUUUCCAAAAGCUAACCAAAGAAAAACAUAAUUACUUUUAUGAGACCUGGUUAUGCCGUCAUGUGCAUUAGAAGCACAAUUUCUAACCUGUUUACUUACACUUGUAUGUUGACGUCCAUAUUGACGUUGAGGUUUUACGUUUCGGUGGACUUUUCUUAGCGGAUGUACAAUGAACGCGAAUUAAAUUAUGGGGGGGUUUCAGGCCCGAAGUGAACAUAUUUGUACACUUCCCUUGUUUGGACCGACGUCCAAGAUGGUGACGGGGAUUCCCCUAAGGGCAUAAGGCGAGGGUGCAGAAUGCCGUGUAUGGAGGAUUGACUGGGGUGUACAGAUGAGCAAUGCCAGUGGAAUUUGGGGACACAGUGGAAUUUAGCUCAAAAGGUUGAGCGAGAUCUUUUGAGUUCUCUGACAGCACCCCAGCCGCUUCUCCAUCUCUACCUAAAACCCCUGCGUACCACUCCCACAACGUACUUAAGAAGAGUUUGGAAGGGGCCAAUGUUCCACUUGGAGCCUUCUGCACAAGUGCAUCAAAGCUAAACCAAACAGUCAUCAUGUUCCAACAGCAGCCACACAGUAAACACGGCAUCAACACAGUGUCAGAAAUGCUUGUAAUUUUAUGACUUUUAUGUUAAGCUAGAGGAGUGUAAAUGUGCCAGCUUGGAUGAGGUUACUAAAGCACAGAGUGCCUCCUAUGCAUGGUAUGACACACUUACAUUUCAGAUCACUGCAAGCUCAGUAAAGAAUGUUCCUGUGCGCACCUCAACAAAUCCUGACCACUUUGUGCAGGAGCAUCUCUUCCCCAGGUUCCAUGGAAACUCAGAAACCACAUAUGGCAAGAAAAACGAGCAGGUGGCCUACACAUGGAUGGAGAGCUGUGGGUUUAGUUUGGAGAGUAGAGGCACAGUAGUGUGUCAAGGAGCCAUGUCUUUCUGCAAGCCCACAGAUGGAGUGUUAAACUCUCAAGAACUUCUAGAAAUUAAAAUGUCCUGUUCUGAGUGAAGUGUGAGUCUCUGGCAAACUCCUCGACGUGAAGCUGGUGGAUGGAGUUCCUCAGCUACAACAUAAUGGAGCCUGUGGGUACUACGUGCAGGAGCAAUUGGGCAUGUUCUGCACAGGACUGGAGAUAUGCAAACUGUUGUCUGGGCUCUGUCCGAGCUGGUUGUUAUUGAUGUGCCUAUUGAUGUGAAGUUCUGUGCUGAUGUUAUCCCUAAACUGAAGGCAUUCUAUUUCCUACAUAUGCUGCCAAGGGUAGUAUAUGAGUUCCAGUUAGGCAGACUGUGUGCUCAAAAUAUGUUAAUCUAUGUGGUAUCUAGGCUAAUACUUUGUUUUGAAAUAGUUCUUAUAUUUUGUGCCUUGUAAAGAUCUCUGUUAGCUCUACCUUAUUAUCUAAGCAUAACUCUUGAUGUUUUUUGUUGUCUUGCACAGUUCUCUUCAUAUGCACAUUUACCUGAUUUAUAUUUGCAUAAUUCUUCUUGGUGUUUUUUACGUCUUGCCUUGUACAGCUCUCUUCAUACAUGUGUAUCUAAUGCCUAAGGAUUACUCCUUAUGAUUUAUGAAUAUUUUAAUUGUACCUUGUAUAGCUCUUUAUUUUCAUUUGGCACUUCAUUAACUUAUCUAAGCAUACCAUAACGCAUCUUGCACUUGAGAAAUGAUGGCAUUAAUAAAAACAUGAAAUUCCACUUU